UACGUAGGGGGCAAGCGUUGUCCGGAUUCAUUGGGCGUAAAGAGCGUGUAGGCGGCCAGGUAGGUCGGUUGUGAAAACUGGAGGCUCAACCUUCAGAGGUCGACCGAAACCAUCUGGCUAGAGUCCGGGAGAGGAGAGUGGAAUUCCUGGUGUAGCGGUGAAAUUCGUAGAUAUCGGGAGGAACACCAGUGGCGAAGGCGGCGAUCUGGGUCGAUACUGACGCUGAGGUGCGAAAGCGUGGGGAGCAAACAGG
rnacentral:rRNA from 1 species